AGAGCGAACGCUGGCGGCAGGCUUAACACAUGCAAGUCGAGCGGGCGGUAGCAAUACGUCAGCGGCAGACGGGUGAGUAACGCGUGGGAACAUACCUUUUGGUUCGGAACAACACAGGGAAACUUGUGCUAAUACCGGAUAAGCCCUUACGGGGAAAGAUUUAUCGCCGAAAGAUUGGCCCGCGUCUGAUUAGCUAGUUGGUGAGGUAACGGCUCACCAAGGCGACGAUCAGUAGCUGGUCUGAGAGGAUGAUCAGCCACAUUGGGACUGAGACACGGCCCAAACUCCUACGGGAGGCAGCAGUGGGGAAUAUUGGACAAUGGGCGCAAGCCUGAUCCAGCCAUGCCGCGUGAGUGAUGAAGGCCCUAGGGUUGUAAAGCUUCUUUUGUGCGGGAAGAUAAUGACGGUACCGCAAGAAUAAGCCCCGGCUAACUUCGCGCCAGCAGCCGC
rnacentral:rRNA from 1 species